CGCGGCCGGGGGCGGGUCGAGGGCGCUGCGCCUGCGUAGGACUCGGCGCUUUGAGUGAGGGCGGGGGAAUAUUAGCAUCCGCGCGUGCGCGCUGGGAGUUGUUCCCGAAGAAGGGAGCGAUGUGGCUUCGAGGUACCGCGGAAAGGGCAUAAUGUCCAGAUUUUAUCGAAAAAAAAGAUCUGGAUUCCAGAGCUAAGAGGGAAGGGCAGUUUGACUCAACGAAGAGGUAUGCGUGCAUUGAGGACUUUUCGUGUGUGUGAGAUCGUUCUUGGUGGAUGACGUCAAGCGCUAUGCCCUGUGGCCAUAGUCCGCCUAAAUGAAAUCGUCACAAGAACUGUGGAGACUGUUUGAAAAUCCUGAAGCCCUGACAUUUUCCCCCAAGUUUUGGAAGAGCCCUUUUUGUUGUUACUGGUGUAACACUGAUAAAUAAAUUUGUACCUAGUAACCAACCUGCACUUUUAGCAAGAAAAGACCUAUUUCACAUUAGAAAUAAAAUUCAGUUAAAGCCAGCAAGUCUUGGAGGAAAAUGUGGCCUCAACGAUAACGGUAGGGAUUUUCAUUUAUUGUCUUACAUAUACCAGGGGAUAACACCGAAUUUCUUAAACAUAAAAAUGUAAAAAAUGAAUGGCAGGGGGG